AUUGAACGCUGGCGGCAGGCCUAACACAUGCAAGUCGAGCGAGCGGCGGACGGGUGAGUAAUGUAUGGGGACUGCCCGAUAGAGGGGGAUAACUACUGGAAACGGUAGCUAAUACCGUAUACUAUCGGAUUAGCCAUAUGGGAUUAGCUAGUAGGUGAGGUAAUGGCUCACCUAGGCGACGAUCCCUAGCUGUUCUGAGAGGAUGAUCAGCCACACUGGGACUGAGACACGGCCCAGACUCCUACGGAGGCAGCAGUGGGGAAUAUUGGGCAAUGGGCGAAAGCCUGAUGCAGCCAUGCCGCGUGUAUGAAGAAGGCCUUAGGGUUGUAAAGUACUUUCGGUAGGGAGGCGUUACCGACAGAAGAAGCCCCGGCUAACUACGUGCCAGCAGCCGCGGUAAUUC
rnacentral:rRNA from 1 species